CCUGGCGGCACUAGCGCGGUGGUCCCACCUGACCCCAUGCCGAACUCAGAAGUGAAACGCCGUAGCGCCGAUGGUAGUUACGAGCGCAGGCAACGCCGCUGAUG
rnacentral:rRNA from 1 species